GACGAACGCUGGCGGCGUGCUUAACACAUGCAAGUCGAACGGAAAGGCCCUGCUCUUGUGGGGUGCUCGAGUGGCGAACGGGUGAGUAACACGUGAGUAACCUGCCCUUGUCUUUGGGAUAACUUCAGGAAACUGGGGCUAAUACCGGAUAGGAGCUCCUGCUGCAUGGUGGGGGUUGGAAAGUUUCGGCGGUUGGGGAUGGACUCGCGGCUUAUCAGCUUGUUAGUGGGGUAGUGGAUUACGAAGUGUUUGAAGGGUAGCCGGCAUGGGAGGGUGGCCGGCCACAAGAGGACUGAGAGACGGCCCAGUCUCCAACGGGACGCAGCAGUGGGGAAUAUUGCACAAUAAGCGGAAGCCAGAUGCAGCAACGCCGCGUGCGUGAAACCGGCUUUUGGGGUAUGAACCGCUUUCGCCUGAGAUGAAGCGUGAGUGACGGUAAUGGGUAAAGAAGCACCGGCUAACUACGUG
rnacentral:rRNA from 1 species